AGAGUUUGAUCCUGGCUCAGGACGAACGCUGGCGGCGUGCUUAAAACAUGCAAGUCGAACGGUGACGAGACCUUCGGGUCUCCGAUCAGUGGCAAACGGGUGAGUAACACGUGAACAAUCUGCCGGUCUGUGGGGGAUACCUCCUCGAAAGGGGAGUUAAUACCGCAUAGUGCGCAUGCCCUGCCUGGGGUGUGCGGGAA
rnacentral:rRNA from 1 species